UCUAAGGAAGCAGCUGAACAGUGGAUGCUUAAAAAGAAAGGCUGGUUUCUAUUUAGAUGGUCUGUGAGAAUGUUGUGGUCUUUAUCAAUUUCUUUCAAUUGAAUUACCUCCUUUUGUUUUUUCUGUUUUUCUUGUGUGCUUAGAUCCUUCUUAUCUGUGCUUAAGUGAUUAUUCUUCUUGUUGUCGUCCAUUUGCUGCUGUCACCCUAUUGUAGGUUCUUUGCUUAUCAGAGUGAGAUUGUUUGUGGUAGAUAUGAACAACUCCUUGUAUCCACUAAAUUUAAACAUCGGAGCACCCACUGUGAUGUGACAUCGAGGUUUUACAGAUUGUCUGCCCCUGAAGGUUCACUUGUACAGAUUCAAAUAUUAUGUGGCUGGUGGGCAAUGUGGCUGCUUUUAUGCAAUGUGGGCUGUUUUCUAUUCUGAAUUUACAUGCUGGUCCACAUUUUCACCUCCAAGUUUUCUAUUGACGGGUUUUGAAAUGUGAGCAUGCUAUCCGUGGUGAAAUUGUUAACAUGGCCCAAGUAACAUUGAGAUUUAUGCGAUGCUCUUCAAUGUGAUUUUAAUUGAUAGAUAGAUAGAUUGAUAGCAUUGCACCGGUAGAAUGGUUACAAAAGAAAAAACCUGAAUUCUGCCUUAAACUGAGAAAAAAUGAUUUUAAUCAAGGAGAAUGGAAUGUGAGGUGAAAGGAAGAA